UACGGGGGGGGGCAAGCGUUUGUUCGGAAUUACUGGGCGUAAAGGGCGUGUAGGCGGCCAACUAAGUCCGACGUGAAAUCCCCCAGGCUUAACCUGGGAACUGCGUCGGAUACUGGAUGGCUUGAAUCCGGGAGAGGGAUGCAGAAUUCCAGGUGUAGCGGUGAAAUGCGUAGAUAUCGGCAGGAACACCCAGGGGGAAACCAGUCGACUGGGCAUCUACUGACGCUGAGGCGCGAAAGCUAGGGGAGCAAACGGG
rnacentral:rRNA from 1 species